UUGAAGAGUUUGAUCAUGGCUCAGAUUGAACGCUGGCGGCAGGCCUAACACAUGCAAGUCGAACGGUAACAGGAAUCAGCUUGCUGAUUCGCUGACGAGUGGCGGACGGGUGAGUAAUGUCUGGGAAACUGCCUGAUGGAGGGGGAUAACUACUGGAAACGGUAGCUAAUACCGCAUAACGUCGCAAGACCAAAGAGGGGGACCUUCGGGCCUCUUGCCAUCGGAUGUGCCCAGAUGGGAUUAGCUUGUUGGUGGGGUAACGGCUCACCAAGGCGACGAUCCCUAGCUGGUCUGAGAGGAUGACCAGCCACACUGGAACUGAGACACGGUCCAGACUCCUACGGGAGGCAGCAGUGGGGAAUAUUGCACAAUGGGCGCAAGCCUGAUGCAGCCAUGCCGCGUGUAUGAAGAAGGCCUUCGGGUUGUAAAGUACUUUCAGCGGGGAGGAAGGGAGUAAAGUUAAUACCUUUGCUCAUUGACGUUACCCGCAGAAGAAGCACCGGCUAACUCCGUGCCAGCAGCCGCGGUAAUACGGAGGGUGCAAGCGUUAAUCGGAAUUACUGGGCGUAAAGCGCACGCAGGCGGUUUGUUAAGUCAGAUGUGAAAUCCCCGGGCUCAACCUGGGAACUGCAUCUGAUACUGGCAAGCUUGAGUCUCGUAGAGGGGGGUAGAAUUCCAGGUGUAGCGGUGAAAUGCGUAGAGAUCUGGAGGAAUACCGGUGGCGAAGGCGGCCCCCUGGACGAAGACUGACGCUCAGGUGCGAAAGCGUGGGGAGCAAACAGGAUUAGAUACCCUGGUAGUCCACGCCGUAAACGAUGUCGACUUGGAGGUUGUGCCCUUGAGGCGUGGCUUCCGGAGCUAACGCGUUAAGUCGACCGCCUGGGGAGUACGGCCGCAAGGUUAAAACUCAAAUGAAUUGACGGGGGCCCGCACAAGCGGUGGAGCAUGUGGUUUAAUUCGAUGCAACGCGAAGAACCUUACCUGGUCUUGACAUCCACGGAAGUUUUCAGAGAUGAGAAUGUGCCUUCGGGAACCGUGAGACAGGUGCUGCAUGGCUGUCGUCAGCUCGUGUUGUGAAAUGUUGGGUUAAGUCCCGCAACGAGCGCAACCCUUAUCCUUUGUUGCCAGCGGUCCGGCCGGGAACUCAAAGGAGACUGCCAGUGAUAAACUGGAGGAAGGUGGGGAUGACGUCAAGUCAUCAUGGCCCUUACGACCAGGGCUACACACGUGCUACAAUGGCGCAUACAAAGAGAAGCGACCUCGCGAGAGCAAGCGGACCUCAUAAAGUGCGUCGUAGUCCGGAUUGGAGUCUGCAACUCGACUCCAUGAAGUCGGAAUCGCUAGUAAUCGUGGAUCAGAAUGCCACGGUGAAUACGUUCCCGGGCCUUGUACACACCGCCCGUCACACCAUGGGAGUGGGUUGCAAAAGAAGUAGGUAGCUUAACCUUCGGGAGGGCGCUUACCACUUUGUGAUUCAUGACUGGGGUGAAGUCGUAACAAGGUAACCGUAGGGGAACCUGCGGUUGGAUCACCUCCUU
rnacentral:rRNA from 1 species